AUUGAACGCUGGCGGCAUGCCUUACACAUGCAAGUCGAACGGUAACAGGUCUUCGGAUGCUGACGAGUGGCGAACGGGUGAGUAAUACAUCGGAACGUGCCUAGUAGUGGGGGAUAACUACUCGAAAGAGUGGCUAAUACCGCAUGAGAUCUACGGAUGAAAGCAGGGGAUCGCAAGAACUUGUGCUACUAGAGCGGCCGAUGGCAGAUUAGGUAGUUGGUGGGAUAAAAGCUUACCAAGCCGACGAUCUGUAGCUGGUCUGAGAGGACGAUCAGCCACACUGGGACUGAGACACGGCCCAGACUCCUACGGGAGGCAGCAGUGGGGAAUUUUGGACAAUGGGCGCAAGCCUGAUCCAGCAAUGCCGCGUACAGGAUGAAGGCCUUCGGGUUGUAAACUGCUUUUGUACGGAACGAAAAGCCCCGGGUUAAUACCCUGGGGUCAUGACGGUACCGUAAGAAUAAGCACCGGCUAACUACGUGCCAGCCGCCGCGGUAA
rnacentral:rRNA from 1 species